rnacentral:rRNA from 1 species
CAGUCGCCGCGGUAAUACGUAGGGUGCGAGCGUUAAUCGGAAUUACUGGGCGUAAAGCGUGCGCAGGCGGUUGUGUAAGACGGGUGUGAAAUCCCCGGGCUUAACCUGGGAACUGCGCUUGUGACUGCACAGCUAGAGUAUGGCAGAGGGGGGUGGAAUUCCACGUGUAGCAGUGAAAUGCGUAGAGAUGUGGAGGAACACCGAUGGCGAAGGCAGCCCCCUGGGCCAAUACUGACGCUCAUGCACGAAAGCGUGGGGAGCAAACAGGAUUAGAUACCCCCGUAGUCCCUGUCUCUUAUAC